CCUGUUGAGCAUGACUCUAGUCUGGCACUGUGAAUGGGAGGCCCCAUGGUUAUGCAACUCAGGACAUGGUCCAGUUACCAGUGAAAUACUACUGAUCAUUUUUUCCACUUACCCAGUGAGGUGUGUGGCAGGGCAAGCCCCAAAGGGCUCUCACUUCCGAUGCCAAGUGCCUGGCAUGACCUGCUCCAGGGACAGUGUCAGGUAGGCAGUUUGACUGGGGCAGUACACCUGUCAAACCAUAACACAGGUGUCCUAAGGGAGCUCAGGGAGGACAGAAGCUUCCCACAGAGCAGAAGAUCAAGGCUUGAUCUUGAUUUUCAGUACAAAUAUCAUCCAUGAAAGCAGGGCCUCACAAUCCUUUGACUUUUUGGGUUUUAAGCAGGCAUCCAGGAGACAGUGGAUGAGGAACUCCGGGCAUGAAUCUCCACAGG
rnacentral:ncRNA from 1 species